GACGAACGCUGGCGGCAUGCCUAAUACAUGCAAGUCGAGCGGACUUGAUGAGAAGCUUGCUUCUCAGAUAGUUAGCGGCGGACGGGUGAGUAACACGUAGGCAACCUGCCCUCAAGCUUGGGACAACUACCGGAAACGGUAGCUAAUACCGAAUACUUGUUUUCUUCGCCUGAAGGAAACUGGAAAGACGGAGUAAUCUGUCACUUGGGGAUGGGCCUGCGGCGCAUUAGCUAGUUGGUGAGGUAACGGCUCACCAAGGCGACGAUGCGUAGCCGACCUGAGAGGGUGAUCGGCCACGCUGGGACGGAGACACGGCCCAGACUCCUACGGGAGGCAGCAGUAGGGAAUCUUCCGCAAUGGGCGAAAGCCUGACGGAGCAAUGCCGCGUGAGGGAUGAAGGUUUUCGGAUCGUAAAGCUCUGUUGCCAGGGAAGAACGCUUGGGAGAGUAACUGCUCCCAAGGUGACGGUACCUGAGAAGAAAGCCCCGGCUAACUACGUGCCAGCCGCCGCGGUAA
rnacentral:rRNA from 1 species